rnacentral:rRNA from 1 species
UCUGGUUAGCAAUAAUUGGAAUAGUUUAGUGGCGGAAGGGUGCGUAACACGUGGGAAUCUACCAAGAUGUGGGGGAUAGCUCGCCGAAAGGCGAAUUAAUACCGCAUGUGACCGAAAGGUUAAAGUGGGGGAUCGUAAGACCUCACGCAUUUUGAGGAGCCCGCGGCCUAUCAGCUUGUUGGUGAGGUAAAAGCUUACCAAGGCUAUGACGGGUAGCUGGUCUGAGAGGACGACCAGCCACACUGGAACUGAGACACGGUUCAGACACCUACGGGUGGCAGCAGUCGAGAAUUUUUCACAAUGGGGGAAACCCUGAUGGAGCGACGCCGCGUGGAGGAUGAAGGUCUUCGGAUCGUAAACUCCUGUCACUACAGAACAAGGAUAGUGUAGUUAAUACCUGCAUUGUUUGAUGGUAUGUGGAGAGGAAGGAACGGCUAACUCUGUGCCAGCAGCCGCGGUGAUACAGAGGUUCCAAGCGUUGUUCGGAUUUACUGGGCGUAAAGGGUGCGUAGGGGGUUGAGAAAGUCGGAUGUGAAAGCCUGCAGCUUAACUGCGGAACUGCAUUCGAUACUACUUGGCUUGAGGACUGGAGGGGAGAGCGGAAUUCUUGGUGUAGCGGUGAAAUGCGUAGAUAUCAAGAGGAACGCCGGUGGCGAAAGCGGCUCUCUAGACAGUUCCUGACCCUGAGGCACGAAGGCUAGGGUAGCAAACGGGAUUAGAUACCCCGGUAGUCCUAGCAGUAAACGGUGUUCAUUAUGUGUUGGCGGAUUCGACCCCGUCGGUGCCGAACUUAACAGAUU